rnacentral:rRNA from 1 species
UACGUAGGGGGCAAGCGUUGUCCGGAAUCAUUGGGCGUAAAGAGCGCGUAGGCGGCCCGAUAAGUCCGCUCUGAAAGUCAAAGGCUCAACCUUUGAAAGCGGGUGGAUACUGUCGGGCUAGAGUCCGGAAGAGGCGAGUGGAAUUCCUGGUGUAGCGGUGGAAUGCGCAGAUAUCAGGAGGAACACCAACGGCGAAGGCAGCUCUCUGGGACGGUACUGACGCUGAGACGCGAAAGCGUGGGGAGCAAACAGG